CUGUUUGGCAGUGUAGCGUCUCCCAAACGCGGUAUGUUGUGUUUCCAGAAACCCCAACGUGUGUGUACUAUUUGACAUCUCUUCCUGUUUCAUAAGUUAAAGACUUUUUGAAGUGAAGAGGAGCAACUUAUCUGAACCUGAAGUCUAUCAUGGAUAUUUAACUGCAGUUCUGUGAGUAUCCCAACUUAACCAUGAAGAUGAACUGCAAACUGUAAGUCAUAAGUUUCUCAUUACUCUUGGGCACAUUGUUGUAUUUGGCUUCCUGGUGAGUUAACCCGUUACCUGAAGGUUGAUCUGCGUAGUAAGGAUGUUUUAUUGGUUCAUGGGUUACUUAGGUGUUUGGUUUAUAUGUUGGUUUUAAUGAUUUGUUAAAAUGGUUACAGGCUCCAAGUUAUUGUUGUUAGCUGGAGUAAUGGGUUGGGUUCUGAUGUCUUCAGUCUUCUCUCCUGAGCUCUGCAUCUUCAUCACUUGAGUGUUGCUUCACUGAUGAGCGUGUGGUCUGAGUGAGCGGAGGUGCAUACUGGGAUACAGAGCUGUCUGAAUUCUACAGGUCUGUAGACACGCCCCCUCGGGGGGAACCGAGUGUUUGAGAAACCGUCAUGACGUCAGUUACAUGGACUAGAAUGUUCUUAAGAUGGAGACGGGGAUUCAGAAGGAGAAACGCCAGGGGGAGUUGAGGGGGCUCCUCAUCUCAGCAGCUGAAACACAACUUCAGUCUGACACGGAGAACCAUGGAACAUAUUCAACAGUCCCCUCCAGACAUCGUGACUCCUCAGGAACAGUUUCAUUUCCAAGAAGGUCUUAAUUGGGGCCAUUCCAAGAUGGAUCCUGCUCCUCAAGAGCCACCCCCCUCCACUGGGUGGUCUUCUGAACAGAUGACCUCCUUCCUGUCCUCAGGCUGACUAAAGCUGCACCGUUUCCAUCUGUGAAGGCCCCUCAUUCAGGAAACCACUGGACUACAAAGACAUGACUUCAGAGACGUUUAAUCAACCUGGGACACAUUUUGGAGACGCCAAGCAUAAUCCAUCACCAAUGUGGGACGCCACUGAAAAAUGUUGCACAUAAUUUACUUCUCUGGAGACAUUGGUGGUUCUGUUCUGGGUGCCCUGGCAGGAGAGCUGGGGUUGGGUGAUGGAACGUUAUUUGGCAUGAAGUUUUUACCCUGCAUGAUUGUUUAGCCUUUUAUGGCUCAGUGGUGUGUGUUUUUGGGUUUGACAUGAGAUGGAUGCUUUUUGACCAUCGCUAGGGUUCUACUGUGUGUGUCUCCCACUAACACCUGGCAUGGGGUUCUACGUGCGUGUCCUGUGUGUGUGUGUGUCUGGUUUGCUUUGACAGUGAUGUUCAUACAGGGGUCUGUGAUUGGCUUGGGAUAUUGGAAUGGUCAACUAAAUCAUACCUGAUGGACGGCCACACGUUUACUUAAGGGCCUCCAGUAGACAUGAAGAGCCCAGAGCGACGCUGCGGAGCGAUAUCAAUACACUAGGCAGGAAGGAGGGUAUCCAACUCAAGUGUAAAAGGAUGCAAGCGGCGUGUUCAGAUGAGUGACUUCAAACUAGGACUACACCAAUCAGGAUCAAUGGAGGAUGGACACCUAAAGGAAUUCCAAAAGGAGAGUGACGUUGGAAAGGGACCUAAAUGGAUAUUCAAGAUAAACUUCAUACCUGUAAUGAGACGGCUCUUCCUACCUGGCUGGAUUGAUGGGGAGCCCUGUGGAUCUUGUCUUGCUCUCAGUUGCACGUCUUCUCAGGCUGAACUGUAUUUGUUUCGGACAGGACUAGCUGAACGAUUGGUUCCCUUAAAUCAGAACCAAUCUGGGAACUCCAACUAGUGCGCUCUUCGAGCUGAAGUUGUGCUCUUCGAGCUGAAGUUGUGCUCUUCGAGCUGAAGAGGUAAGGAAACCUUCACUGGGGCUUCAAGGUGUAACGAGGAGGAUGUUUCAAAGUGUUCCAUGGUACUCUGAUGAAGACCGUUGUUGUUUUCCACUGGCUGAGAGGAAGAACCCUCGCAUCUUCCUCUUGGCCUUUCUCCUCUGAGAAUCCUGGCGUCAUCUUGAAGGAUAUUCCAGCUCAUGUAACUAAUGUCAAGACAGAUUCUCAAACACUUGGUUUCUCCUGAGGAGCGUGUCUAUAGAACUGAAGACUUUAGAAAGCACUGUAUCCCAGCAUGCAUCUCUGCUCACUCAGACCACACCCCCAUGAGUAGGAUGCAACAUUCUAGUGAUGGAGAUUUAGAGUUUUAUAAGUAACGAGGGAAGAGACAAAGGUGAUUAGAACCCAAUGGUCUGUAAAUCUUUAAACCAUGAAGAUGGUUGGAUAGUUCAGGAAUUGGGCUUCUUUUUAUUAUGGGCGGUCCUUUCACUCAGAUGCCCACUUCUCACUCGACCUGUUGGCUGGCUGGCAUGAUUUGCUGUUGGUGAUGAGGCGGUCAGGGUGACGUUGCAGGGCUAUGGUCGGCUCUCUGUGAGCUCAACGUUUAGAUUGCUCUGUAUGGUUUGUACCCUGAAUAAUCUAGAUAAUUGUAAAAUGUAGGCACGGUUUUGUAUUGAAUGAUCUUAGGUUUUAAGUUGUUGUGGGACGUACAUGGUAGUUUGGUUCUUCGUAUGGUUUUGAGUGAUAUAACUUGUACACACUGGGUGCAUAAUAAUGUAAAGGUACACUGAAUAGUAGUAAUGACCAACAGCAACAAACUGAUCUCCUCAAGGUAAGUCUGUUGGCUGUAUUUUAAUGAAGACCAUCGCUGGACUUCAGGAUCUUCCUCCGUUCAGCUCAAGGUGAGGCGCUGGUUCUGUUAUUCUUUGGUUGGUUCCGGCUGGAAUGUUCGGAUUCCAGUCGGACGGUUUGUGCUUCCCGCCGUGGAAGGUUCUGAGUGCGGUCAUUUGAUUUAGUCCCAAUGGUUAGCAUAGAACGUUCAGGAUUGUAUUUGCGUAACCUCGAGCCGUUUGAUAUUAAAUACAUACUGACACGUACGUCGUACAAUAUGUUGAUCAUUUCCGACGGUUGCGCCAUACUUUUAACCACGCUGACGUGACGGGACUCUCGCUGCGUACCAAACGGCGUUCGACCUGCGGGCCCAUUUUUUACAUCGGUGACGGAUGAAAAUCUUUUCACGGCUGCAUUUCAACCAAACCCAGCACCUGAAUAAGGCUGAGUAUAUUUGAUUUAAUAUCGAUACUGCUUAGUGUUCUUUGUUACUUCAGCUUUUGUAUGUUCUAAUUAACUGCUGUCAUUAAUUGCCACAGAAGUUAAACCCUACGGAAUGGAAUAACGUUAAACAACGACUUUGGUGCUUACCAAAGUUACCAACUGGAUAAUAUCAAAGCUAAAAUAAUGGCCGUCCUUCCCACAUGUUACAGUAGAAGAUACUCUAGAACUGUACAAGGUUAAAAAGGUAACAUGUAGUUUGUCCCAAGGUGUCUGCCUCCUCACCCAAAGCAAGACCUCCACCUCCUCACCCAGAGCCAGACCUCCACCUCCUGUCAGAAGUCCUCCAGAACAGCUGAAAGAUGAGGCUGAGAGGCUGGGGACCGGAGGCUUGUGGUGCCAGGAUGGACCGGAGACUGAGGCUGGAGACCAGGGGCCUGCAGCACCGGACCAGAGGUGAACUGCAGAUGCAGGUGGUGGGGUGUGUUGCGUCCCCAGGUGAUUUACUGCUGAGACCAGUGUUUGUUCCAGACCAGGACUCUGGCUGAGGUGAGCUGAUGGAGGAGCCAAGACUCUGGAGGACGACAUCACUCUACCAACCAGGAUCCUCACCAGGAAUCUGGAGGACUGAUGGAGAAGCCGUACAUCUGGAAGGCAAAUCCUGAGGACAACCAGGACUCGACCAUCAAGGAUUCCUCGCAGACACACCUGAGCUGAACCUCACCUGAUCCUGUUUGGUCGGGGGUACACACCUGAGCUGAACCCGCCCUGAUCCUGACAUCCUGCUGGUCCCGUCUCCUCAGUUCAUCUGCGCCUCAUCCUCCAGAAGACCUGCUGAGCUCAGCAGUCUGAGGCUGAUGUAUCAAUGACCUCCAGUGGGAGUGAUCUUCUUGACCCCACAUGUAACGUGAUUCGACACGCCUUUCCCUCACGUCUUUCACUAACCUCACUACUUCACUACUCUCUACUGCUUCCUCUUCUUCUUCCUUCUCUGUUGUUCGAACCUUUACACUGAAGGCGCGUCUUCCUGCCCUCAGAGGGUUCUGCGUUAGGGUUGAGAGUCAGGGUUUAGAGUCAGGGACAGAGCUGGUCAGGGAGGACUGCUUUUACACAAACCUCUUCACCACCUUUCGGAAUGGUGGUGACAUUUUGAAAAGAUUAAUUUGGGAAAAUGUUUUCCUCUGCUUUCCUUUACAAAAUUGUAUUAAACUUCUGUCAAGUGUUUUUGUUUAUAUAUUAAAAUCCCUCAUUGACUUCUACAGUGGUGGGGUGUGUUGCGUCCCCAGGUGAUUUACUGCUGAGACCAGUGUUUGUUCCAGACCAGGACUCUGGCUGAGGUGAGCUGAUGGAGGAGCCAAGACUCAGGAGGACGACAUCACUCUACCAACCAGGAUCCUCACCAGGAAUCUGGAGGACUGAUGGGGAAGCCGUACAUCUGGAAGGCAAAUCCUGAGGACAACCAGGACUCUACCAUCAAGGAUUCCUCGUAAGUGCAUUAUCUGGACAUAUUGGACUAGACACACCUGAGCUGAACCUCACCUGAUCCUGUUUGGUCGGGGGUACACACCUGAGCUGAACCCGCCCUGAUCCUGACAUCCUGCUGGUCCCGUCUCCUCAGUUCAUCUGCGCCUCAUCCUCCAGAAGACCUGCUGAGCUCAGCAGUCUGAGGCUGAUGUAUCAAUGACCUCCAGUGGGAGUGAUCUUCUUGACCCCACAUGUAACGUGAUUCGACACGCCUUUCCCUCACGUCUUUCACUAACCUCACUACUUCACUACUCUCUACUGCUUCCUCUUCUUCUUCCUUCUCUGUUGUUCGAACCUUUACACUGAAGGCGCGUCUUCCUGCCCUCAGAGGGUUCUGCGUUAGGGUUGAGAGUCAGGGUUUAGAGUCAGGGACAGAGCUGGUCAGGGAGGACUGCUUUUACACAAACCUCUUCACCACCUUUCGGAAUGGUGGUGACAUUUUGAAAAGAUUAAUUUGGGAAAAUGUUUUCCUCUGCUUUCCUUUACAAAAUUGUAUUAAACUUCUGUCAAGUGUUUUUGUUUAUAUAUUAAAAUCCCACAUUGACUUCUA